rnacentral:lncRNA from 1 species
AUGAGGCUCCUUCCCAGGGACCCUAAUUCAGAAGAAAUUGAGUGUUUUGCACUUUUUUUCCACGUGGAGCCGCUGGCCAGGCCGGGCUACAAGCCCCCUGCCCGGGCUGGUGGGUCCUGCCGGCGCAUGGCAGCGCGACGUCACGUGGAGCCUUACGGGGAGAGCUGCGCCCCUGAGUGGGGGUGUCACAGCCCCCUCGCGGUGUCUCAGCGCGGGGGGGCAGAGGGCACGCAGCGCCCGAGGUGGGGGGAGGUCGGCGGGGGGCGCCGGUGCCCGGCGGGCAGGCGGCGGGAAUGGGGGGGCGGCCCCGGCAGCCCCCCAGCAGGGCCCGGCGGCGGGAGGAGGCGGCGGGCGGGGCGGCGCGGCGGCGGCGGAGGGGGCCGGGCGGGGGGAGCUGCGGGGAGCGGCGGCGGCGGGCGGCGGCGGCGGCUCGGCCCCGGGUGCCCCAGGGGCUGCCUGCGAGCUGGCGGCGUCCCCGGGGCUCCUGCCCGGCGCGGAGCAUCCUUCUUCCGGGCACCGGCUGGCAGCGGCACCGGCGGCGGCAGCGGCGGCGGCAGCGGCAGCGGCACCGGCAUCGGCAUCAGCAUCGACACGGACACCAACAUCAGCAUCAACGCCGGCACCAACACCGGCAUCGGCAGCACCGCCGACACCGGCAGCAGCACCGCCGGCACCAGUAUCGGUAUCGCUGCUGGCACCAGCCCCAGCGGAGCCCAGAUUGGAGCCAGAGGGGUCCCAGCCAGGAGUCCCCAUACUCUGUGGGGUCCCUCCCUGGCUGAGCGACAUCGGGAGUGGGAACUGCCAGGCCAGGGAGUGGAGCAGGACCCUGGGCACAGGCAAGACGCAGCGCCAGGCCAGGCUGGAGGGUGCCCGGUAAGGCUGCCUGGGAUGGGACCCCCUCUUCUUCCACGAUGCAGUGACCAUGUGAGGAUCACAGCACCCAAAGGUGCCAGCCCUAGGGGUGGGGGGGGUUCCACAGGCAGGGUAACCCCUGCCUUGGCUCCUGGAGAGCCUGCAGUCAGGGUGGGCAGAGGGAGUUGUAGAGGGCUGAGCCCUGGGCAGCUGCAGGCAGGGGAUGCUGCCUGCCUGGAACUAGAGCAUCCUGCCUGGACCAGGGUCCCCUUUGCCCUCCAUGCCCAGAGGGGCUGA